CCGAGUUUACAACUCCCAAACCCCUGUGAACUUAUACCGUCACGUUGCUUCGGCGGGAAUCGCCCCGGCUGCCCCUCGCGGGCGGACCGGAUCCCAGUGCGCCCGCCGGAGGACCAACAAACUCUUCUGUCUCUCAUAGCGGCAUGUCUGAGUGGAUUUUAUACAAAUGAAUCA
rnacentral:misc_RNA from 2 species